rnacentral:rRNA from 1 species
CUACGGGGGGCUGCAGUGAGGAAUAUUGCACAAUGGAGGAAACUCUGAUGCAGCAACGCCGCGUGGAGGAUGACGCAUUUCGGUGUGUAAACUCCUUUUAUAUGUCAAGAAAAUGACGGUAGCAUAUGAAUAAGCACCGGCUAACUCCGUGCCAGCAGCCGCGGUAAUACGGAGGGUGCAAGCGUUACUCGAAAUCACUGGGCGUAAAGGACGCGUAGGCGGGAUAUCAAGUCAGGUGUGAAAUCCUACAGCUUAACUGUAGAACUGCACUUGAAACUGGUAACCUAGAGUAUGGGAGGGGGAGAUGGAAUUAGUGGUGUAGGGGUAAAAUCCGUAGAUAUCACUAGGAAUACCCAAAGCGAAGGCGAUCUCCUGGAACAUAACUGACGCUAAGGCGUGAAAGCGUGGGGAGCAAACAGGAUUAGAUACCCGGGUAGUC